GAUCUCUCUGAAGUUCCUUUUCCUGUGAGCCACCACCACCGUGUUGCCAUCUCCACCACCGCCUAAAACCACCGUCACCUGAACUACUCCAAUCAGUUCCUCAUAUUCAACAACAUCCAAGCUCCACUGAUAAUCACCAUCACUGAACGGUUCCUCAAAUCUAAUAAUCACCACAAAAAUCCCUUCAUUUGAAUCUGACUUGUAAAAUCGCUUGUGAAUUUUUUCAAAACCUGCUCAUAUCAGUACCCGCCACCACCCACCCACCAUAGCUUAUCUUUCAAUUUUUCAAAACCUACUCAUUAUCAAAGUAAAUAACUGCUUUUCAAAACCCACAUCCCAGCGAUCUCUCUCUCUCUCUCUCCCUCUUUCUGUCUCAAAUUCCUGAUGGGUUUUCAGUUGUUCACUCCACCCAAAAUUCCGACCACUACCACUACCACUGUGAUAGUGGUAGAUCUAGCCAUAUAGGGUUUCUAGGAGAGAGAUGGCGGUUAAUAGUUAAACCCCCGCCGCCCGAACUCGGAUUUGGAGGUAGAGGAGGGGAUCGAGAGUUUUGGGGAGAGCUAGAAUGGUUGACGGGUCGGCGAUCAGUGAUGGUGGAGGGUGGCCGGUGGUCAAUGAUGGUUGAGGGUGGCCGGCGACCGUGAUUUGAGGGUGGGCAGCCAUGAUUUGUUCUUGAUUGAGCAGAGAGAAGAGAUGGAACAAAGAUUAUGUGAGUUUUAUUUAUAUAUGUAAUGUAAUUUACCCCUUUUUUUAAUUUUUUAAAUAAAUAAGUAAAAUUACCGAUAUACCCUCAUGUGCAAGUCACAUGACCAAAUUAACUAAAAAAUUUAACUGGGUUAGUGGUAAAGGACGUAGAGUGUAAUGAGUUUUACAAAUAAAGGAUUGUGACUGUAAUUAUUGAAGUUAAAGGUCAUCCAUUGCAAUCUCAUACAAACAUAAAGGACGAAAAGUGUAAUUUAUCCUUUAUAUAGAUUAAAUAUAUAAUUGUUCAAAUAUUCAUUGUUAAAUUAAUAAAUCUAUAUCUAUACUAU
rnacentral:lncRNA from 1 species